ACCCGCGACUCAUGCUCGCUCCCACCCGCCGCCCCCCGGGCUUCGGGCGCUGUGGCUUCAGCAACCGCCCCCUGAGCGGCAGGCUGCGUCCCGAGGCCUGAAGCUCGUGCGGGAGGCCCCGGGUUCAGCGCAGCCGCGUCUGCGGACUCCAUCGACCAUUUGGAGCUCUGUGACUGUACCUUGUGCAGCCCCUUCCAAAAGGGGGAGAGGAUUACUGUUCCAGGUCCCUUUUACGCUUCGUUUUCCAAAAAUAUAUUAUGCCCUGAACAACAAAUGGAAUCCUAUUUUCAGACUGUUAGUCUGAUUUGGGCCCCAUCUCCUGGCAUAACGAUUCUGGGAUCCUGGCUCGGAGGCGGCGUAGUGGAGCAUUAAAACAAAAAGGGGGGCUCUGUGAAAGGUAAAAGCUGAUGCUUGGCACGGAUGCAGCUCUUUCCAGGCACCCUUCCUACCCCCUGGACCGGAUUUCUCUUCUGGCUGUCGCUGCUACCAGGAGCCCAUCCAUACUGGCCUGCGUUCCCAGUCACCCAAACCUCAACCUCCCUGCUCCCCAUCUUCCUCCCUCCCAUCUCUAGGCUCCCUUCCACUCUUCCUUAAGCUUACCAACACCCAGGAGGAUUUGCUUUGAUUUAGUCAGUUAGGAAAGAGAGGUGGAAGAGAGAAAUGGAGUUUAAAAACCUCCAUCCACUCACUAGUCUCUGCAGUUGAUGGUUGAGCCUCAAACAUUGAAAGUCAUUUAAUCUCACACGUACAUAUGCUGACUGACUUACAUGCAGUCUUGUUUAACAUGCAAGAUCUGUUGACCCCAAUUCCACAUUUAUAUAGCCUGAUUGACAUUUUUUAAUAUUUAUUUAUUUUUUUGGGGGGUCUUAGUUGCAGGGCACAGGCUUAGUUGCCUUGCAGUGUGUGGGAACCCAGUUCCCCCACCAGGAUCAAACCCAUGUCCCCUGCAUUGGAAGGCAGAUUCUUAAUCAUUCGACCACCAGCAAGUCCCUUGAUUGACUUUUUAACAUUAUACUUUCUUUCAUUUUUAGAUACAUGUAGAUUCAGAUACUGUUGUAAGAAA
ensembl:lncRNA